GAUGGGUCCGCGUCCUAUUAGGUUGUUAGGUGGGGUAAUGGCCCACCAAGCCAAAGAUGGGUACCGGGCGUGAGAGCGUGGCCCGGCUCACUGGGACUGAGACACUGCCCAGACAUCUACGGAUGGCUGCAGUCGAGGAUCUUCCGCAAUGGACGAAAGUCUGACGGAGCGAAGCCGCGUGCGGGAUGAAGG
rnacentral:rRNA from 1 species